AGUCGAACGCUUCUUUCCUCCCGAGUGCUUGCACUCAAUUGGAAAGAGGAGUGGCGGACGGGUGAGUAACACGUGGGUAACCUACCCAUCAGAGGGGGAUAACACUUGGAAACAGGUGCUAAUACCGCAUAACAGUUUAUGCCGCAUGGCAUAAGAGUGAAAGGCGCUUUCGGGUGUCGCUGAUGGAUGGACCCGCGGUGCAUUAGCUAGUUGGUGAGGUAACGGCUCACCAAGGCCACGAUGCAUAGCCGACCUGAGAGGGUGAUCGGCCACACUGGGACUGAAACACGGCCCAGACUCCUACGGGAGGCAGCAGUAGGGAAUCUUCGGCAAUGGACGGAAGUCUGACCGAACAACGCCGCGUGAGUGAAGAAGGUUUUCGGAUCGUAAAACUCUGUUGUUAGAGAAGAACAAGGACGUUAGUAACUGAACGUCCCCUGACGGUAUCUAACCAGAAAGCCACGGCUAACUACGUGCCAGCAGCCGCGGUAAUACGUAGGUGGCAAGCGUUGUCCGGAUUUAUUGGGCGUAAAGCGAGCGCAGGCGGUUUCUUAAGUCUGAUGUGAAAGCCCCCGGCUCAACCGGGGAGGGUCAUUGGAAACUGGGAGACUUGAGUGCAGAAGAAGAGAGUGGAAUUCCAUGUGUAGCGGUGAAAUGCGUAGAUAUAUGGAGGAACACCAGUGGCGAAGGCGGCUCUCUGGUCUGUAACUGACGCUGAGGCUCGAAAGCGUGGGGAGCAAACAGGAUUAGAUACCCUGGUAGUCCACGCCGUAAACGAUGAGUGCUAAGUGUUGGAGGGUUUCCGCCCUUCAGUGCUGCAGCAAACGCAUUAAGCACUCCGCCUGGG
rnacentral:rRNA from 1 species